AGUGAACGCUGGCGGUAGGCCUAACACAUGCAAGUCGAACGGCAGCACAGUAAGAGCUUGCUCUUACGGGUGGCGAGUGGCGGACGGGUGAGGAAUACAUCGGAAUCUACUUUUUCGUGGGGGAUAACGUAGGGACACUUACGCUAAUACCGCAUACGACCUACGGGUGAAAUCAGGAGAGCUUCGGACCUUGCGCGAUUGAAUGAGCCGGUGUCGGAUUAGCUAGUUGGCGGGGUAAAGGCCCACCAAGGCGACGAUCCGUAGCUGGUCUGAGAGGAUGAUCGGCCACACUGGAACUGAGACACGGUCCAGACUCCUACGGGAGGCAGCAGUGGGGAAUAUUGGACAAUGGGCGCAAGCCUGAUCCAGCCAUACCGCGUGGGUGAAGAAGGCCUUCGGGUUGUAAAGCCCUUUUGUUGGGAAAGAAAAGCAGCGGGUUAAUACCCCGCUGUUCUGACGGUACCCAAAGAAUAAGCACCGGCUAACUUCGUG
rnacentral:rRNA from 1 species